GAUGAACGCUGGCGGCGUGCCUAAUACAUGCAAGUCGAGCGAACGGACGAGAAGCUUGCUUCUCUGAUGUUAGCGGCGGACGGGUGAGUAACACGUGGAUAACCUACCUAUAAGACUGGGAUAACUUCGAGAAACCGGAGCUAAUACCGGAUAAUAUUUUGAACCGCAUGGUUCAAAAGUGAAAGACGGUCUUGCUGUCACUUAUAGAUGGAUCCGCGCUGCAUUAGCUAGUUGGUAAGGUAACGGCUUACCAAGGCAACGAUGCAUAGCCGACCUGAGAGGGUGAUCGGCCACACUGGAACUGAGACACGGUCCAGACUCCUACGGGAGGCAGCAGUAGGGAAUCUUACGCAAUGGGCGAAAGCCUGACGGAGCAACGCCGCGUGAGUGAUGAAGGUCUUCGGAUCGUAAAACUCUGUUAUUAGGGAAGAACAUAUGUGUAAGUAACUGUGCACAUCUUGACGGUACCUAAUCAGAAAGCCACGGCUAACUACGUG
rnacentral:rRNA from 1 species